UAUCCUUCCAUUACUGCGCUACUAGUGUUGCGAGAAGUAUCGUUCUACCUUUAUUCCGUGCUAAGCUUGGACUAGGAUGAAACAUUUUGAAUGCUCGAAGCGGUUUGACUGCAGCCUAAUUAACCCAUCACAGACUCGACGAAUCACAUUGUUCAAUCAUCCAAAUUGUCGAGCUCCUGACAGACCUUUCCCGUUUGUUCAAUGGCGCAGCUGCCGAUGACGUCGAUGGUGAAUUUCGCCGCCAGCUCCCGUACCUCGACCACCGUUCGAUCCACGUUGCAGCUCGUGUCGAUGAGCUUCUGCAGCUCCUCGCUGCACUCCACCAGCAGGUAGAACAUCCGCUUGAGCUUGCCCGAUGAGAAGGCGGGCGUCAAUUUCGACCUGAGGCCCUUCCACUUGCGCCCUUCGAGAUUGAACAGGUGUCCGGAGAGCGGGUCCUGACGUGUACACGAAACAGAUCGAUGUACAAAGCGCGAUGAAAUUCACGUGCAACGUCAGUGAAAAUGCCGAUUCCUCUAGCGGAGGAGGCACCGAUCGAGAAGGAGACCAAUCGAGGACGAAAUUAAAGGCAAAGUCGUCGAUCGCGAAGAGACCAAAAUCCGGACGACGACACGUACCUGAAAGUUAUUGAUCGGAAUCCCACGGUUGGAGAAGCAAGCAAAGUCCUUCACGCACACACUCC